UCCAGCUCAGGUCUCCGGUGGAUGGGCCUUCCUCUGCAGAGGCGGGAACCCCAUGCACGCACAGGGGCUGCCCAUCCCCUUCUCUCCUGCACUUGACCUGCCAAGACUUGGUGAUGGGACCCCUGGUGGGGCUCUUGGCCCAGGUGAGCCCCGGACUGAGUCCAGGACCAGUCCUCCACGGUGACCAUUGCUCUCCUACCCCAUGGGCAAAGUUGAAAAGCUGCAUUAUGUCCUGUGCUGCGGGGAAAGUAGCACUCAACGCGCUGUUGGCGGAGAGCUCUCUCCUGGACCUUGGAAUUGGGAAGCCAGGGCCAGGAAGCCAAGGCCAAGAAGAACUCGCUGGGCUUGGGCUGCAGCCUUGAAAUGGGAAGCUCCGAAAGCAGAGGGUUUUUUUUUUUUCUGGAGCCUCCUUGGAAGCCUUGAGGUCAUUAUGGAUUGCAAGGAGAGAGAGAGAGAGAGA